UACGUAGGGGGCAAGCGUUGUCCGGAAUCAUUGGGCGUAAAGCGCGCGUAGGCGGCCCUGUAAGUCCGCUGUAAAAGUCAAAGGCUCAACCUUUGAAAGCCGGUGGAUACUGCAGGGCUAGAGUCCGGAAGAGGCGAGUGGAAUUCCUGGUGUAGCGGUGGAAUGCGCAGAUAUCGGGAAGAACACCCGUGGCGAAGGCGGCUCUCUGGGACGGUACUGACGCUGAGACGCGAAAGCGUGGGGAGCGAACAGG
rnacentral:rRNA from 1 species